CCACGGGCCAGAGACCCCCCUCUCUGGGUGGCAGACACGGGUGGCUUGCGCCGGCUGCUUUGAAGUAGAGGUCAAAAUACCAGAGCUUUAGAAGAAAAAAGUUUCGUGUUCAUGCCCCUUCUUCUCUGCUUAGUAUGUUGGUAUGAGGAUGUGAUGCCUGGAGCUGGAACAAAAAAUUUGCAACCAUGAGGUGGACAUGCAUGAAGACAAAGAAUUAGCAUGAGCACUGAGGAGCAGGAGGGGCAAUUGAAGCCUGGAGCCAUGAUGGUUUGCACAAUCCUUGGCCUUCUGUGUUGGAUCUAGACUUAUUCAUCCAGGCUUUUUAUAAGCACUUCUUCUUGCUGCCGCCAUGUGAAGAAGGAUGUAU